AAACACUUUACAGAAAUAAACAUGCACUCUUGAGGUAGUGCUGUUUAAACCAUGUAGCGUGACUGGCAUUGGCUCCAGCUCAAAGACUGAAACAUCCCCCUCCACAGCCUGACACACCAAGCUCUCUCCCCUCCCAGUUCCACCCACAGCACCAGCCCUUGCCUUUCCGCCUUUAGGUUGAUGCAACGGACUUUUUCAUUAGCCUAAUAGUCCCACUCAGCUGUACAACAAGAAGAAUGUGUGUUGUUCCUUCUCUGUAGUGUUGUCUUCAUCAGCAAAAUUUAGCUGAAGCUUUAUGUUCAGAGGGGUGAGGAGAGGAUGGGAAAGGGGAGUAACCCAGGCCAGCUGUGUGUACUCUGACUGUUCAUUUAAGUACAAGCAAGCAAAAGAAUUCUGGCUGCAAAAAGUAAAAUAUUACAGGCUAUAUCAUAAGGUUUGGAUGUGAACAUAGGUGCACAAUGCUUCUUUCACAAAUUCCUGCUGUAAACUUUGUCCUUUACUGGGUGAUUCAAUCCUCUGUAAUGAAAAAGUUGCCCUACUCUGAACUUGAUUUUUUUUUCUUUCUGAAGAAUAGUAAUAACAAAGACCAAAACACAAGACAGAAGAAAAUAUACUCCAGCCUGUGUUAAAAGAAUUCUCUUGGAAAAUGAAAAGCCAUAGUACCACUGGGAUCAGCUAUUCAAAGGAUCUGAAACCUUGCCAUGGCCUCCACAGCUGCUACAGAAAUUCAUUUGAUACAGCUCUGCAUUCCCUGUAUGGUUAAUUCACACUUAUCUGUGGAAAUACUUGAUCCAAACCUGACCGAAAUAACUGCAGACGCUUUUGUUGACUUUAUGGGCCUUUCUGACUCUGUCUGUGAUACAGGAGAAUCAGCCAUGCAGGACAGGGGUGUAAUUCCAUCAAGGACUUAUGGUGACCUCAUAAACCAUGAGAGCUGGCAUUGACUUUAAUGGGCACCACGUGGUUAAAUUCCCAUGCAUCAAUUUGAAAAUGUAGGGCUUCAUUUGAUAUUGCAGAAGGAUACCAGACCUGCCGUGUCAAAUUGUUUCUCUUUCUUCUAAAGGAGCUACUAGCUUUAUGUUACAGUCAGUCCUCUUUGGUAGCAAAUGAAAUAUACCAUUCUGGAAAAUUAGUAUUUUCUCUGGCAAAACGAACUUGAAAAGUACAUUUCAUAGAAAAACACAUAUUUGGGUUAUAUUCUUUUAAAUAAACUUUCUAAAAAGAUGGCAAUAACUUCAA